CCUGAAUGGAUCGCGAAUGAUACGUAACCUGUAGAGUCGUGCCUCUAUCAACCCUAGUUGUACUCUGUGGAGACUGACAGUUCUCUACUCAACUUGAACAGUAUAGAAGUUGCAUGAUCAAAGAUUCAGCUAGUCAUUAUCCCCUGAAGAGUAUCUGGUAUUUGGAUACGUAUCACAUAUCAUCUUUACAAGCUGGCUGGCCUUUGGCUGAUCUCAGCUGGAUCUGGACGGAUUCAUCUGUAUUUGGCUUCCCAGGAGAGGUUGGAU
rnacentral:lncRNA from 1 species